AGCAGCCGCGGUAAUUCCAGCUCCAAUAGCGUAUAUUAAAAGUUGUUGCAGUUAAAAAGCUCGUAGUUGAAUUUCGGGAUCAAUGUGUUGGUCGUGCCUUGGUACGUACUAGUUUAUUGGUUUCUUCCUUCUGACGAACCAUGAUGUCAUUAAUUUGGUGUCUUGGGGAAUCAGGACUGUUACUUUGAAAAAAUUAGAGUGUUUAAAAGCAGGCUCACGCUUGAAUACAUUAGCAUGGAAUAAUGAAAUAGGACGUUUGAUUCUAUUUUGUUGGUUUUCUAGGAUCGACGUAAUGAUUAAUAGGGAUAGUUGGGGGCAUUAGUAUUCAAUUGUCAGAGGUGAAAUUCUUGGAUUUAUUGAAGACUAACUACUGCGAAAGCAUUUGCCAAGGAUGUUUUCAUUAAUCUAAGAACG
rnacentral:rRNA from 1 species